UCACCCUGCUCGCUGUGCUGAUGAGGAAAGAGCUCACAGCUGCAAGCCUGCUUUAUUUAGCACUGACUGGGGCUCUUUGUAAGAAACCCACCCAAAGAGGAGGCAGACCUGUCUGAUCAGGCAUUCCUGGGACCUAAAAUGGUGCUUGUUUAAACUGCAGGCUGGCUUGGGGGCUGCAGAAGUAAGAACCUCAGGCUGGCUGAAUGAAAUUUUCCCUAUAAGACUACUCCAGUGCUAAUGACAGCAACAAUAAGGGAACCAGCAAUUCAAUACUGGAGGAUGCUGCUGAGGGAACAUUGACAUAAGGGCAGGUUGUAUUAACCCUCCUUGAGAGCUGUCCCGUUGUAGCCUACCUGCUUCUGAAACCUCAGCUACGUGUCUGCAGGAUGCUGUGGGGUGCAGCUGUGAAUGUGCUGGUUGCACGGAGCAGACCAUCACAAUGGCUGUAAGAUGCAGACCAGAUGGUGGUCCCAGCUCUGCACCGUGGUCCAUCCAGGUCACCUGCACUGCAGAGAGCUGCCCAGGAGAACUUCAAGGCAGUGCCCGUGCCACUUCUCCUGGUUGCCACCUUGAGCUCCGGUUCUUACAAAGGCAAUUAAACAGCUGGAGACCUGUGUCUCUUCAGCUGUAAGUGAGGUAACAAUUUAACAGAGGUAACUCGUUAUGUGGAAUGACGCUGACUGCUGUGAUACUUACAAUCAUCUUGUGACACUCUGGAGCUCAAUGCAUAAAAUAUUAGCUUGUGUCCUGUUUCCUUCUCCCUGCCCCAAGAGUGGUAUUGAGCAGUCACAAUUCAAAGUCCUUCUCUGCCAGAGUAAGCACAUAUUCCCAGAAGAAGUGGCCAGGACAGUGUAUGCGUGAGGCUGUGAGGCAUGUAUGGCAUAGAUGGUAUUCACUAAACCCCCAAUGUACAAGGAAGGAAUGGCAAACUUCGAGCCUACACGCAGUGUGUUCCUCAGUGCUGCUCUCUCCAUGCCUUUGUAUCAGACAACAACUGCGCCAGGGUCUACCUGCUCUUCACUCACUUCCUAGGGAAUCAGCCAGUUCCAUGGCCUGGGCCUUGAUGGAAGGUCACCCAGCUCUGUGGCUCCGGAGAGACAACAUAAAGACAGAAGGAAUAAAGCAGAGAAAAGAGGACAAAUGUAGGCAAGAAAUGCUGUGGAGAGGGACUUCCAGCACACAGUUCUACAGAAAAAUUUCAUCCACACCAAACUGGGCUGAAACUCCUGCCAGGACUGCCAUCACUAGCCCUGAAGCAGUUGGCAUCAGCAGCACUCACCAGGCAGCACCAGAGCCUGGAUCAGACCCUUAAAUAACACACAGACCCUUAUUUGGGAAAGGGCUUGCAGAGGGCUCCCAGGUAAUGAACUGAAAACCUCCUGUUGUAGCACAUCUGGCAGUGCCCCAGUAAUGAACUGUAGCACCGAUGUAACACACACAGCAUAAAACAUCAACAUGUACAGCAUAAAUACUGCUUGGACCUCUCUCUUGAUGCGAGAGAGAGAUAAAUGAUAGCAGUUUAACUUCUGGCUAAGCUAUAGUCUUUUUCUCAGCAGAAAAGGCAAGCACGUGAAUUUCAGAUGGCAGCUGUGAAUGUAUCCUAUCCUUUUGUUCUCUGUUGCCAUUUAGUCAUCCAUUCUUCGAUCUUUCCCCAUAACAUUCCAUUGUUUCAUUUUCCUAGGAAUCCAAAUCACUCCCCAGCCUUCUCUUCUAACAAUUCUUGUUUUUCUGGGCAAGGAAUUCACAGUCUUACUCACAGAGUGCUACUCACUCAGAGGUGAAGCUGGACAAAAUCAAGCUUGCUAAUACUCACUUCAUAUUUACCAUUAUGAUGCAUUUCAAAGAUUAUUUAACAGGACCACAAACUUGCUCAUCCCAGACAGUUUUGCGUAAAACAUUAAGAUACCCAAGACAGGAUUUAUUUGCAAAAAUUCUGCCAAAAGCUAGGGAUAUUUCCAGAUGAAUGGCAGUUAGGUAGUCAGCCUCAGAGUUUUUCAGUAAGACCAGAGACACUGAGACACUGUUGGCAAAUUCUAUAGAAAAUUCUAUGUAUGUUUCCAUGUUGCCUUUCAGUUCCUUCUGCCUUAGCAUCCAUCGGCUAUGACCACUACUAAAACAGGUACAUGCUGAAUGUUGUGUUCCCAAAUCCACUAUAAGUAUCCAAUUAUAAGAUCCCAUAGGAAUUACGUCCUUUAAUUCUCUUAGAUCUAAAGACAGAGCAUUUCAUUUUCACCACUAAGGGUACAGGCUUUCUGAUUUUCAGUCAGUGCCUCCAUUAAAUACAUAAAUCAUCCCUUUUUGAAAAAUGAAAGGAAAACCACAACCCUGUAAUAUAAACUCAAGCAUUUUUAUUUUUUAUUUUUUAAAUCCGGUAAAGACUGCCUAGCUUUGUUAGCUGUGACUGAAAAUUCUUUAAAAUAUGUCAGCAGAGUUACUUUGUUGCUGUGGUUAACAGCAUUACAUGGGAUUCAGCAUCUAAAUCUCUCAGCCUAUAUUGUGUGUCAGAAGUGCAGGAAAGGAUGGUUGGAGAGAAUUGUGUGGAGCUUAUCGUUGGAGGAGUUUGGAUGCUAUCAUAAUUCUUGUGUCUUGUCCUUAGCAGUAAUGAGAGAGGUUUUGUAGGCUGAGUCUUGAAAAAGAAAGAAUAGGCUUUGUUUGAUCAUUAAGGCAAGUGUCAAACCUUGUGAAUAAUGUAGAUUUUUUUUUUUUUUGGACAUUUGAAGUGGAGAAUAAUGUAUGAUUAAUGCCAGUUCCAUUUUUUAGCUUCCUGUUGCUCUGUACAAACGCCAUGGCAUUUUUCAGAAGCAAAAAAUUGUACAGAACUAUGUCCUGAACAAGGUCUGGAUUACAGUUCUUAUAUUGUAUUUGCUGCGGUUUGUUUUUAAAAGACUUUUAAAAUACCUUUUAAGUAAAAUAAGGAUAUUACAAUCUUCAGUCUUCUAGGGCCUAAGCAGAGAUCUGUCCUCAGUUGCAUCUUUAGAUGCUCAAUGUAAUUCAGCUUAAAAACAUAGUACUUUCAGUAUCUCAAGUGUCUUUGUCUCUUAGAAACGUCUUUUGGCUUUACUUCAGGAUAAUUAUAUUCAUCGUUUUCACCUUAGGCUAUAGGUUGUAGGGUAUGAUUUAAUCUUGUAUGUGACUGUAGAAUAAUUGGAAGGGUGUCAAGAACAGAGUUAGUCCUAUCAUCUUGUACUGAGAAAGGUCUUGGUAGCCUUUAACCUUGACUGAUGUUUGUUUAACCUUGUGUUUACCUCAAAUUAAAGAAACUGUGUCCAGUAUGCAUUUUUAUAGUGGCCACCUAAAGGUACCUGUGCCUGCGUUGGCUACUCUCAUCUACUUCUGAGUAAAGAGAAUAAAUUGGAGCAUGGCCUCUUCCAUCCUCCCAGCACAGUCUCACCUUGGUGAGCUGGAGGGACUGGUAUUAAGCUGAGUGGGAGCUGGAAGACCAAAGCCUCUUCCCUUGGCUCCACUUAUUCCUGCCUGUAUAUAUGCAGAAAAUAAUUUUGUUUUCUUCCAGGAUAAAUCCUUACAAUCUCAGCAAGUUAUUGUAUUAAACAAAUAAAGAUUAAAAAUGAUGUUUCAGUCAGACUUCCUUUGGCUCUUCCCUGUCUGACCUGGACACCUAGGAGGAGCCUCAUCACUGCCACAUGUCAUUCUGGGACAAGGAGCCCUCCAGUUCAAUAACCAACCAAAAAUUAGAGUCCUUGGAUAUUUUUUGAGUUGAAAAUGUUUGCUAAUUUCCAACUUCAAAAUUUGAAAAUCACAGUGAUAUCUCCUUUUCUUUCCUCCACUGCAAAUGGUGGAAUACAGAAGAUGGUGAUGAACACUAGCCCGUGUCUAUCUGCUUGCUCCAUCUCUCUUUAUGUUCCUAUAUCUCUCUGUCUCUGUUUUUCCAUUUAUCUGUCUCUCUUAAAAAUACAAUACAAUACAAUACAAUAAUAAAAUUUAAAGCUCCAGUUUAUUCUCUUUACUCAGAAAUGUUUGACUCCUGACAUUGUUGAGGCUCUUCAAUUCUUGCCAAUUUACCUAUGCAUCCUUUUUCUUUCUUUUUCUUUUUGUUAAAAUAAGACAGUCCUGAAUGAAAUUCUCUGGACUAGGCUCCAGUGUGCCAAGUACCAAGGAAUAAUCACCCCUCAUGUUUCAUAUAUGAUAUUGCUAACAUACAGCCAAAUGAGAUUUAUGCUUCUGCAACAACACUACACCACUGACAGGCACUUUAGCUCAAUUCUUGUCCAAUAAUAGUACUGUCUGGCCAGAGAAUUCCCAUUUUAUCUAGUACAUAGCCACUUGUCCACUUUGAAUGUCAUCUCAUUGAAUUCUGACCAUCUUUCCAAUUUAUCGGGAUCAUUUUGAAUCUUAAUUCUGGCUUCAAGAAUGCUGUUACCCUUGAUAGUUUAAUGUACACUGCAGAUUUUACAUGAGUAUAGACUUCCAUCAUUUAAUUUAAUGAAGGAACUGACAGAUCUUUGACUGAAAUACCUUCCUACAUUUAGAGCACAGUAUUAGAUCUCUUAGGAAACCCUAUUUGCAGCCAUCUCGGUAGUACCACUGAUUAGCACUAGUACAUAUUUCCUCAACUUUUUUAUAUGGAUGUUCUGCAGUUUUACCAGGGCAAAUAUAGAUGUCCCCUUCUGCUUCUCUUAUCCAGGAGGCAAUUAUUCUGCCAAAGAACAAACUGAGGUUUUUUGUUUGUUUGUUUGUUUUUCCUUUCUAGGGCUCAGGAAUAAAAUACUUUAACAAAAUCUGACUAUAUUUUAGUUCUAAAUUUUACUCUCUCUAAUUUCUUUGCCAUGGUUGCAGCCAGUAAGGUGGAGGGCUUGAUGAUUUUAUUAUUGUGGCAUUGUAGGUGGUUGUAGAUAUGAACAAGAAAAGUUGUCAAGGUAUAUAAUCAUCCACAGAACAGGUUUAAUGUAAACUUCAUUCAGACUGUUUUUUGUUGUUGUUGUUUUUUGUUUGUUUGUUUCCUCCUGAGAAUUACUUUACAUUUUAUAUUUGAGUGUUUUGCAUGAGAAGGUAUUUUUAUGGUGAUUUUUAAUACAUUAAUUUGAUGAGAUCAUAAGGAUUUACAUUGGAAGGAAUUGGAAUUAAUUUCUACAUAAACAAAAGGUAUCAUUCUAUGAGCGUAAAAUUUCUAUCUAUUUCCCUUCCAUAAUUUGUCAUGAAGGGGAGAUAAAAAUAUGUGAAAUCACAUAGCAAUAGGGUCUUUGGGUCUGUUCUCUCCCUGCUUCAUGACUGCUAAUAAAAUUUUUUAGUGGAAAAAUCUAUGAAGAAGGGAAAAGCGCCGGUCUAUUUAAGAAGCAAGAAUUUCAUUACGACACAAAUUCUGGAUUCCAUUCACUGUGUUAAACUUCCUUUUGUCCUUUCCAUGUUAAUUUAUAUUCUACCCUGUCCUAGAUACUAGAUCUUUUCCUCAAACUGCCUUCAAUAAUACAGAACAUUGUUUGGGGGAAGAUUUUUUUUCUUCUUUUCUUUUCUGCUGAAUGUAUGAUGAGAAGCUUGAAUAACCCCUCAAGGUAACACGUUUAAGGAAAAUCUUAUCAGGGUGGGAAGAACAAGCAGUGGAGCGACUGCUGAGUCACUUCCUCCUACCAUGCAAGGCAUCUUCAGUAACCCAGAAAGCUUGUCAAAGUCAAAACCAUGCUUCACUGGUAUAGCACAUCUAUCUGGGAUAUCAUCAUCAGGCUUCCUGACAAAUCUUUGGGGGGAAGACAAGAUAAUUAAGGAACUGACUUUAGAAUGUGAGCUGUUAACUUGCGCACUGAGCUCAGCGGAGCAGGCAACUUGUAAAUGUCACCGUCAAACCAGAUAUUUAUUGGUUUGAACUGACACACUCUAACUUUUCUGUAAGUAGUGAGGAUAUAUUCCCUAUCACUUGAGACAUUUAAAACUGCAGCAGAUUGAACACAGCCUGAAAAAAAUGUUCUCUUGAGCUGAUUGCUCUUAUGGCAGCAAGGGGAGUGAUGAGAUGAACUGUUUUGUUCUGCCUUUCUUACCCUCUUCCUUUCUGCUCUUGUCCCCUACUUUCUUGCCACCACCUCCAAGCUGCUGUUGUUUUUUUUUUCUACAAUUAAAUUUGUUUCCAUAGCACUAUAGGGUAAGUGGGCAACUCAUCUGGUAUAAUAAUAAUGUGUACAUGGAGAAUAAGACAUAGUGGCCUGACAUAGUGGCCAGGGUACAAAAUAUUUGGAACAUUUUUAAAAGCAAAUAUUCACUUUUUUUUUUUUUCCUCUCCUUGCUUGCCAGCUGCAGACUGUGCUGUGAAACCAAUCACAGACUCAUUCCCAAACUGUCCAGAUGAAAAAGACCCAAAGGCUACUUUGCUUAUUGCCAUAACUCUCUGGAAUCGCUUCUUGCCAUAUAUUUGAGUACUAUAUUCAGGUUAAUUUGCUAUUGCUUUUCACCAGAAAGCUAUCCCAUACCCUGAUAAAUCUCAUCCCCAGCUCUUCCUACAAAUCCUGUCCUGAAAAACUCAGUCCAUGUUUUCCUGUGUCCAUUUUCAUUCUGAAGCAGCAUCUGCUGCUUGAAAUAUUUAAAGGCUUAGGACCUCAAGCAAGCACCAAAGAAUGCUGGUCAGUCUUUCCCUGUCAUAUCUUUUGCUCUGUGGAGGACCUGGCAUUGUAAUAAAAAUUCCAGACAGGCAAGCAAACAUGAUCCGUAUGACAGGACUAUCUCCUUCUUUCAUCUCCUGGAGAUAAAGACCUUCUUACCUCCAACUUGGAAAGGAUUAUUUAGCAAGCAUGAAAGGAGAAGUGCCUUGUAACACUGUUGGUACUACUGUACUGAAUUAAAGAAAACCCUUUAUAGAAUAUAGAGAAGAAACAGAAUUUUAAAACAAUCAUCUCACAGAUAUGAGCCAUUCAGGUGCCUAGGAGGGCCAAGAGGAGAUUGAAAUAGUUCAGGCUUCAUUCUGCAACACAGAACCCAGCACAGCCUCAUUCACCCCACCUCCUUCUGCGUGCUUUGCUUGCAGAGCUGGUGCACGGAGCUCUGUUUUGGUCCAGGGUGGUUUGUGUAAAGGUGAUGUGGGUGUAUAUACACACAGCGUGCUGCCAUGUCCUCAGAGGGACAGUCCCAGCUGCAAAGUAGGACAUGCCCUGCUGAACGCCCUUCUCCAGGUGCUCAGCACUCCCUUAGGGUACUAUGUAUUACCAUAUCAUCCACCUGUGAGUCGUGAAUGCUCCUAUCUUGAUGCUGUAAUGCUCAGUCACCUGUUUGACCUUGCCCAUGAUACCUCACUGAAACUAAUGAAAAGUUUUCUGUCAUUUACAAAGGAGCAGAACCAGACUAUACAGAAGGAUUAAUGAAAUUCAAAUUCAAAGCUAUUCAGGAGAGAAGCAUAAAAGUCCUGGGUUGGAAGCUAUUUUGGAAUUUCCUUUUUCAUUUCAGCUUUAACUCUGGAUUGAAAUGAUAAUCUUUUGCCAUCCUCAUACAGAUCUUUGAGAUAGCUUUAGUAUAGUUUGUCAGAUAAUUUUCAAAUACUGUAGCCUCAAUACAGGAACUGAAUCCUGCCUUUACAUCUUUUAGUGGGAACCCUCAUAAAUGUCACUAAAAAUAUAAAAAAGCACUAGUUGCCUGAGUAAGUGCUGAUGAAGGUGUGCUGCUUUGGAAAAACAGCUCUCUUUGAGUGGUGUGCAUUACCAGUUUUGAGCUCUGCAGAGUAAAAUCUUGGUUAUCUCUCUGUAUUCUGCACAAGCAUGGUAUUAAUAGCCUUGGUGUGCCCUUUCAAUCAGAAAAAUGUCUUGAUUUGUAUACUUAUAUAGCACAGGCCAAGCUGAAGUGAGAAUUUAUUUCCUGAGGAAAACAGAUUUAAUGUGAAAGGUGAUCUGCAGAAGUUUCAGUUUUAGUUGCCUUGGAUAAGCAUCAAGAAAUGCAGCUGCUUGUUCAAGCGGGUCUCCCAUACGUCUGAGAGCUGCAAAGUCAAGGAUGGCAGGGAAGCAGGAAGGCAAGGUUCUGUACACAGAUCCCUUUCUUCAAGGCCAGGGUACAUAUUAGAAGCAUUAAAGUAGGUAGGAUUACCAUGAUAACCAUCAAACUCACGCUUCCAGUACCCCACUUUACACUGCUUUGUGGCUCAGAAGCCUGCCUCAGCUCCUGUCCCCCAAGAGUUAUGUGCCCCUCCAGCUACACUGAAUUUUUGCAUCCUCUUCUUCUGAUACUACUACUCUCUCCAACCUAGAAUCCCUCAUCUCCUCCUGAACUUCAGCUGCACACUUCAUUGUGGGAAAGAAAAGA